CUGCUGCCUCCCGUAGGAGUCUGGGCCGUGUCUCAGUCCCAAUGUGGCCGUUCAACCUCUCAGUCCGGCUACUGAUCGUCGCUUUGGUGGGCCGUUACCCCGCCAACUGGCUAAUCAGACGCGAGCUCAUCUUUGGACGAUAAAUCUUUGGCAGCAAAAUCAUGCGACCCCGCUGCAUCAUGCGGUAUUAGCAGUCGUUUCCGGCUGUUAUCCCCCACCAAAGGCAGAUUGCUCACGCGUUA
rnacentral:rRNA from 1 species